AGUGAACGCUGGCGGUAGGCCUAACACAUGCAAGUCGAACGGCAGCACAGUAAGAGCUUGCUCUUACGGGUGGCGAGUGGCGGACGGGUGAGGAAUACAUCGGAAUCUACUUUUUCGUGGGGGAUAACGUAGGGAAACUUACGCUAAUACCGCAUACGACCUACGUGUGAAAGCAGGGGAUCUUCAGCCAUGGUGCGAUUGAAUGGGCCGAUGUCGGAUUAGCUAGUUGGCGGGGUAAAGGCCCACCAAGGCGACGAUCAGUAGCUGGUCUGAGAGGAUGAUCAGCCACAAUGGGACUGAGACACGGACCAUACUCCUACAGGAGGCAGCAGUAGGGAAGUUUGCGCAAUGGGCGAAAGCAUGACGCAGAAACGCCGCGUGAACGAUUAAGCCCGUCGGGGUGUAAAGUGCGGUCAGUGGGGACGAAACUGGACGGGACCCACAGAGGAAGAACCGGCUAACUCCGUG
rnacentral:rRNA from 1 species